rnacentral:rRNA from 1 species
UAAACGAUGCCAACUGACGAUCCGUGGUGGUAGUAUUUUAACCAUCCCCACGGGCAGUCCCCGGGAAACCUUUAAGUCUUUGGGUUCCGGGGGAAGUAUGGUUGCAAAGCUGAAACUUAAAGGAAUUGACGGAAGGGCACCACCAGGAGUGGAGCCUGCGGCUUAAUUUGACUCAACACGGGAAAACUCACCCGGCCCGGACACUGUGAGGAUUGACAGAUUGAUAGCUCUUUCUUGAUUUGGUGGUUGGUGGUGCAUGGCCGUUCUUAGUUGGUGGAGCGAUUUGUCUGGUUAAUUCCGAUAACGAACGAGACUCUAGCCUGCUAAUUAGUACGCCUGUCCUCUGUUCCUGUGCUGGCGGUGCUUUGGCGAAACUGCUCACAUAUGUCGACUGCUAUGGGGACGCGUUCUUGCGUGUGCCGCGAGCUCCUCGUGGGCAAGUGGCGUGCGUAGGGGCGUGAACUGUGGUAGGAGGCGUGUGCGGUGGGUCCGGUGCUUGCCUCCGGGUACGGCGCAGGUGUGUCUACUUCUUAGAGGGACAAGCAUUACGAAUGUGUACGAAAUUGAGCAAUAACAGGUCUGUGAUGCCCUUAGAUGUCCGGGGCCGCACGCGCGCUACAAUGACGGUGCCAACGAGUCUGACCUUCUGGCCCGAAAGGGUUGGGCAAACUGGUCAAUCACCGUCAUGACAGGGAUCGGGGCUUGGAAUUGUUCCCCGUGAACGAGGAAUUCCUAGUAAGUGCAAGUCAUAAGCUUGCGCUGAUUACGUCCCUGCCCUUUGUACACACCGCCCGUCGCUACUACCGAUUGAAUGGUUUAGUAAGGUCCUCGGAUUGGCGCCAUUGCAGUAUCAGCCGCAAGGUUGGUGCUCGACAGGUGCCGAGAAGACGACCAAACUUGAUCAUUUAGAGGAAGUAAAAG